AGUUGAUGUGAUGAUAAUCUUCCACAGAAAAUCACAUUUAGUGUUGACCUAAUUACAGACUACAAUUUUCUGAUCAACU
rnacentral:snoRNA from 1 species